rnacentral:rRNA from 1 species
UAUGACUCUCGGCAAUGGAUAUCUUGGCUCUUGCAUCGAUGAAGAGCGCAGCGAAAUGCGAUACGUGGUGUGAAUUGCAGAAUCCCGUGAACCAUCAAAUCUUUGAACGCAAGUUGCGCCCGAGGCCAAUUGGCUAAGGGCACGUCCGCCUGGGCGUCAAGC